rnacentral:rRNA from 1 species
GACAGAGGGUGCAAACGUUGCUCGGAAUUACUGGGCGUAAAGCGCGUGUAGGCGGCCCGGAAAGUCGGAUGUGAAAGCCCUGGGCUUAACCUAGGAAGUGCAUUCGAAACUGCUGGGCUUGAGUUCUGGAGAGGAAGGCGGAAUUCUCGGUGUAGAGGUGAAAUUCGUAGAUAUCGAGAGGAACACCGGUGGCGAAGGCGGCCUUCUGGACAGUGACUGACGCUGAGACGCGAAAGCGUGGGGAGCAAACAGG